UGGGGAAUUUUGGACAAUGGGGGCAACCCUGAUCCAGCAAUGCCGCGUGAGUGAAGAAGGCCUUCGGGUUGUAAAGCUCUUUUGUCAGGGAAGAAACGGUAGUAGCGAAUAACUAUUACUAAUGACGGUACCUGAAGAAUAAGCACCGGCUAACUACGUGCCAGCAGCCGCGGUAAUACGUAGGGUGCAAGCGUUAAUCGGAAUUACUGGGCGUAAAGCGUGCGCAGGCGGUUAGUGUAAGUCAGAUGUGAAAUCCCCGGGCUCAACCUGGGAAUUGCAUUUGAGACUGCACGGCUAGAGUGUGUCAGAGGGGGGUAGAAUUCCACGUGUAGCAGUGAAAUGCGUAGAUAUGUGGAGGAAUACCGAUGGCGAAGGCAGCCCCCUGGGAUAACGACUGACGCUCAUGCACGAAAGCGUGGGGAGCAAACAGGAUUAGAUACCCUUGUAGUCCCUGAGCGGGCUGGCAAGGCGCAU
rnacentral:rRNA from 1 species